UGUGCUUGGGAUCGUUGUCAUGCUGAAACAUCCAAACAAGCAGCAUUUCUUCACUGGCAUAUGGCAGCAUGGGUUUCCAGAGUUUUUCGACAUAAGAAUCAUCAGUCUUGUUUUCCUUAAUCCAAUAAAUGGGUCCUUGACCUUGCCAAAAAAAGUAUGCCCAAACCAUGAUACUCGCAGCUCCAUUUUUUACCCUUUUUGGUGCAUAUCUUACAUAUUGACGCGAUCCUUUUCCGCCAUACUUAACAAUCUUCGAUUCGUCCGACCAUAAAAUUUUUCGCCAUUUUGUCGAAGACCAAUUCAUAUGUUCUUUGACGAAUCGAAGUUUGUUUCAAAAUGCGUUUUAGCCAAUAACGGCACCUUUCUUGGCCCUCAGAUAAAUUUCGCGUAAAAGAUUUCAAAAAACUUUUAUGUGAAUGUGUGAGAUAGAAAUCACUUUAAAUGGGUAUGAGUAUUAGAGUGUAGAAUCUUAUUAAAAAUAAGUUUCAAGUUAAGUAAAUUUCAAAUACAAUUGGAGCCUUUAUAUAAAUUUUUCUGGCAACGCCCUUCCAAUUACCCUAACACCCAUAAAUUAUUAUUAAUUUUCGUGAAAUGUGGCACGUAAAAAUGUAAAAAGACACUUUAAAAAUGAAAAAAAAAAAAAAAUAUUAAAAAUAAAAUCUCAAAACAUUUACAGUAAACACCUGCAGUUUAAAAAUUAAUUAUUUAUAAUGAAAAGUUAAAAGAAACUUAAAUUAAUUAUUUAUUGUGAAUAGUUAAAGAAAAAGUUGUGUGUAACAACUUUUUGUUAGGAAAAUAAUAAACUGUCAUGGCUAGAAAUAACUUAUAUUUUCAUUCUCAUUGUUUUACAUCUCGCCCUCUCAAUAGAAAAGCAUUAAAAAAAAUAUUUGCAUGGCCCAUAAAUCUUGGCUUUAUGAGUUGUGUUAGUAAAAUGGUCUUUUGUUAGGCAGCCCCCAAUUCUUCUAAAAGUUUUUUAAGUGUUUUUCUGCUGUUCAUUUUCUCAUAUUUUUUUAACAAAUAGGUUCAUUUAAUUACUACUGAUUUACAUAAAUAUGUGGAGAAAUCGAGAAUUUCUUAAAGGCGCUUCAACUAAGCUUUUGUCAAAAAUCAACUUGGCAGUUCUUUAACUGUUUUAUCAAGUCGUAUUUACACCUGGCAGUUUUUAUUGUCGAGUAAAACUAUUUUUCUGUGCUUUGUUCCCAGCAUUGUAAGAGCAAACGUGCCGUUACUUUUGUGCUUUCUUAUGCCUUGAAGCUUUUUUGCGAAUAAAAUGUGGCCACAUAAUUAAAUCUUUCAGUACUAGCAACGGGAAAUGGUAUAUUUUUACAUAUAUAAUAAGUUUGCCUCGAAGACUGUAACACCCAGAAGCCAACACCGAAGACCCUAUAGUAAAAUACCCGCCGCUAUCGGACCACUAUAGCAUAUAGCUGGCAUACUAAACUAUCGAAAUCAAGUUCUUAUAAAGCAAACUGUUUCAUUUGACAAGAUAUCUUUAUGAAAUUUGGUGUGGGUUAUUGUCUGAGAUAGUGCUGAAAUCUUCAAAGAAAUUGUUCAGAUCGGAUCAUUAUAGCAUAUAGCUGCCAUACAAACUAAACGGUCGGGAUCAAGUGCUUGAAAGGAAUAUUUUGUAUUUGUGAAAAGUGUUUUACUUUAUUCUUAUGAAUUUGUGGGUUAUUCUUAUUCAAGAUCGAAAUUCAAGGUCGCAUCACUUGACAUAAAAUCUUUAUCAAAUUCAUCACAAAAGUAUUUUGUAUCGAAUGCCUUUUGCAAACAGCUAAAAUUUCACUUAAUGAUCAUUUUCUGAAAAGAAAUGUAAAUAAUUGUCUAUAAAGAGAGGGAAAGAGGGAAUAUACAAAGCGUUUUUGUGGCACAAAGUGAUAAAUGACAACUUUUACCACCGACAGCAAAGCAUAUUUCAGACUUUUACUUUUCGCAAAAGAAAACACACAUCACGCGCAUUGUCAGAGAUGCUAAAAAAACGUCGGGGAAAAAGCAACUGUCAACAAAGCUUUUACUUUGGACGCAGUAAAUGCCAGCGAUUUCGACAAAUUUUAGUGGUAGAAAUGUGUAAUUAUGCAUUCGCCAUGGUUGGCGGUUUAAAUUUAAUAUGUAUGCUUUUAAACAUUUUUUUAUUACCACGAAGGUAAUUAAAUAGUUUCCCCUCCACUUGUACGUAUAUGUAUAUGUAUGUAUAUAUAUGAGAAGUUGGGCAUGUUUACAUUAAAAUUAUGAUUUAUCAGCAACUAAUGUGGCAACUGCCCUUUUAAUCAGCACGAAAAUGUUUAGCAAAACAAAUCCAAAAGCCCACACUCUCAGCCAUGUAACCCCCGCACUGGCACAUAACCAUUUGCAGCUUCGCAGGAGACUGCCAACUCGCUGCGCAAACGAAGUAAAAUCGUAAUGGUGAAUGGUGCAUGUUGUAGACACGAGCAUCAUCUGCACCGCUGCAUACGCUAAGUUCAAUGUCCGGUGGCGCGCUGCGCGAGUGGUCAAUGUGGGCAUGUGAAAACAGGUAGGUCAGCCGCUGCUCGGUGUGGGCAUCAACAUCAUGCAUGAGCUCUUUCAGCGUGUUUCUGGGCAUUAGUUGUACAUAUAUACUUAUGCUAGCGGCAGUGUAAACAAAUACCUAAGUUUUGAGGUUAACUACUUUGCUGGUUGAUGCGCUGACUCGCUGCCUAGUUGGGGUUAGUGAGCGCCAGCGCGCUUGUUAAACAUUUUACUUGAACGCUUAUCAAAAACUUUCUCAUAGAUACCUUCGCACAUAUAAAUAUAUAGCUCUGCUGCCAAAGGUUAACUCCGCGUGCUACACAUUAACAUGCGAGCAUUCUUACAGCACUUGUUGUUGGACCAAUCUUUGUUUUUCCCCAAAAAUCUUCGUUAAAAAUACACAAAUCGCGUUAGUGAUUCCUCUGCGCUUCAGCGAAAACCAGUUUCAAGCGUUUAUCUUCAUUUCAUUUCCUCAAUUUUAGUAUCUUCUGGUCUGCCUCAAGCGUUGCGCGCGUCGUUUCCUCUCAAGAAAGUUGUUUACUGCGAUAUUCAAUUUGGUUUAUUUCAUCAAAUCUGCAUACUUAGUUAACGACUUGAAAAAAAGCUGAAGCUGUUUUCCAGCGCUCACAUUCUCAGCGCGUUUUUUCCCACUGAAACCACCAGCUUAACCAGCGUUUUGCGGCAACAGUGGCAAUUUGUUGUUUGUGUUGUUCGGUUGUUCCGUUGUGUUAUUCGAUUUUGCGCUGCGAUAGUGUCUAUUGAUCGGUGAUUUGUUGCUGUGGCCUCCUUUGAAGUGUCGGCGGUGUUAAAGAGCUCUUUUUUUAUUGUUCUUCUGGUUGCACAUAAAUUGACGAGAAAACUCUGGACAUUAUUGGACAAUAUAAACCUGAGAUAUUCUGCUAAAUAAAAAUAGGACCAAACAAAAAAAA